GCGGGUUCUCAGGUGAGCGCUCUGUGGCUGGGGCAGGCAGGCAGGCUCCUCGAGGUCCGGCACGGAAGCCGCAAGGGCUGUGGGGCCGUAGGCGGGGCGUCCCGAGGAGACGCAGGGGACCUCGGGAGGGUUGGGGCCUCGGAGUCCCGGCCUGAAGGGGGAAGGGGCUCCGGAGCUGCGGGUGAGUGGGGCUACUCGCCGGGCCCGGGUUUGUGGAGCCUGAGGGAGGGGGCCGUGACCCAGGUUCGAGUCCAGGUCCCACUCCCCAGCCCGCUGUGUGAUCUUAGACAAGUCUCCAUCCCUCUCUGAGCUUCAGUGACCGCUGCUGUGAAAUGAGGGUUGGGGAGGAGGAACCGCCGAGAGUGUGUACAGAUGGACGUUCGGAGAACGAACUCCUCCUGCCUUCUUCCUGUUUAUACUCUCCUUACCCAGGAGAUUGACCGCGGAACGUGGACGGUGGGAGUGUCUGAGUGACCUUGGGCAAGUCCCUUGCUCUGGCCCUUACUUUCCUCAUCUUCAAAAUGAAUGCGCUAAACCUCUUUCAAGCUCUCUUUAAUAUUUGGGUGUUAUUGUUUUAGAUAGAGACAAGGUAGUGAGUGCCCAAUUCACUACAAGGUUUCCCUUCAGGGUGUGAUAGAAUAUAUUCUUGGAAGUUAGAAUCCACCCUGGCCUGAAUUCCCCUUAGUUCCCAGAUUUUGUGGUGUUUUUCUGUUUUUUUUUUUUUGUUUUUGUUUUUGUUUUUGGUCCUCCAACCCUCCUCGUAAUUGGAGGAGUGAUUUCAUCCAAGAGUUGGUGCUGCCACUCAUCUGAACAGUACUGGUGUAUUCACUGGCCUAAAACCAAAGAGCAGUUGCAAGGAAAAAUCUGACAUCCCAGCCUUUUUGUGUUUCAGUGGCAGGGAGGCAAGAUGACUUCUCUCCCCCAAGCUUGGAACAGCUGAAGGAAACAACAGUACAAGAUGAGAACAACAAAGGUCUACAAACUCGUCAUCCACAAGAAGGGCUUUGGGGGCAGUGGUCAGUAUUGAUCCGUUUUGGGGGGUUGCGUAAGUUGGCUGAGGUUCUAGUGUGUCCAGUGCUUCAAAAAUGACACACUGACUCAUGACAAUAGAGGCUGGAGGUGACUUAACUGAGCGAAGCAGCAAGUGUAAUACAGUAGCAGGGAGGGCAGUAGCAUGCGAGAGCACAGGCCCCUUCUAAAAGCACUUGUGUUCUGAUUUUUAAGGAACAAUGUGAAUGUUGCCAGUUUACUACCUUCCAUUUAUUUGUAUUUUAUAUUAUGUAUUUACUAUAUAUGUUCUAUAGAAUCCUAGUCUGCAGUGGUUUGGCAGAUAAGAAAAACUUAACAUUCAUUGAGAGCAGUAGUAAAUAUACAUUAGACAGGUAUGAUCAAAGCGUGAACCUUUGCCUGGUUUCCAGGCAUAGUAAGAAGGAGCAGGACACAGCAUAUUGUUCUGUGCUAAACGAGAUUUUUCAGCUCUGCCUCUAACUUUCCCUGUGACCUCAGGCAAGCCCCUAGUUUAUCUUACUUACAGCCUCAAGCACAUUAGAACAGUUUCUCUGUUUCUCUUAACACCUUGAGUCUAUAAAUAUGCAGAAUAGGAUGGCAAUUAGUAAUACGAUCUUUUUCUUUUUGUAAAGAAAUAAUUUUCCUUUCUGUCCUAACAACCUUAUUUGCUUCCGAAAUUGGAAUUAACAAUACAAUGAGUCAUUUAAAAAUUAUGUUUUACUGUGUAUUUGCACUUACAUAUGUGUAAGUCUCCCAAGGGCAAGGACUACUCAAAAGGGAAAACACUAGUUUCUAUAUCAUAAAGUUUGUGGAGAUUGAGUAAGAUGAUGUAUGUAAAGUAUUUAGCAGAGUACCAUGCUCAGGGCCACUCAGUAAAUGGAACCAUUAUAAUUACCAGGACAAUAUAUACCAGGCAGUUGCUAUAUUUAAAAUACAAUUUUUGGGGCACCUGAGUGGCUCAGUCGGUUUAGUGUCUGACUCUUGAUUUCAGCUCAGGUCAUGAUCUCAUGAUCUGUGAGAGCGAGCCUCUGUCGGGUCUGUGCUGACAGCACGGAGCCUGCUUGGGAUUUUGUCUGUCCCUCUGUCUCUGUGCUUCCCCAGCUUGUACUCUCUUUGUCUCAAAAAUAGAUAUUUAAAAAAACUACAAUUUCUGCUAAAAUGCAGACCUUUGUUAAUAUUAGACUUUGUAUUAAUGUCUAUUAAUGAUAGAUGCUGCGUAAACAUUUGUGGAAUAGAAUUGAAUAGACAACAGAAAUAACUUGUCAGAGGGAAGGAUGCAAGGCUAUAGUAUAUACAGUGUAUAUACAAUGUAUGCAAGUCUACUAUACAAUGUAUAGUUUACUAUAGCUAGGUGCUAUACCCAGUCUCCUUCAGGACUAUGAUUAGAAACACAUCCAACAAACUUAGCUGCAUAUCUAUGCUAAACAUAAAGGUUGUGAAUAUGAUAAGGUCCCUUGUCCUUUAGGAGCUUUCAGCUUGAUGUGACAGAUAUGCAAAAAAAAAAAAAAAAGAUAAAAUGAAACAGUGGAAUUUGUGCUCAGUGCUCAGGGAGUUUCAGACUAUGGAAGUUAGGGGAAGGCAUCACAGAGGAUUUGGCAUAAAACUUUCAAUGGAAGCAAUGUACCAAAUAAAAUUUGGUAUUAACCCAGUGCUUUGCCAUCCUAGGUUGAAUUUUUGUUGGUUUUGAUUAUAUUUGAAAUUUAGAUAUACUUAUUUGUCAUGGAUUUUAGCAUAAUUAAAGACCACAUCUUUCUCUCAAAAUUAAACCAGAAAAAAAAAAAUCACUCUGUCUUUAUGGUUCUGAGUUUGUUAUAUAAGAAAGAGUUCUCCCCACUCCCAGUGAGGGUGGGGGAGAUAAACAUAUGAAAUUAUGUCUUCCUUCUAUUUUAAGAGUCUCAUUGGACCCUAAUGUGAACUGGUAUCCAAAGUUUCUCCCUGAUCAAGUGCUGCCUCCUAAAAUCUAAGGCAUUUUAUUUGGCUUGUUUUUUUCUUUUUCUUUUUCUUUUUAAUGACAUGAGAGGUGGUAGGCUUUAGGCAGAAGGAACCCUGGACUAGUAGUCAGUCUUGGUUGUGCUGUUAUCAGCUGUUUACCCUUAGGCCUGUAUCACCUACAUCAUUUCUUCACUUCUGUUACAUCCGAAGAUUUAUUAUGAGGAUCACAUUAAGACAGUAUUUUUGGAAAUUCUUUGAACACUAUAUAAAUGUAAAGGAUUGUGCUGUAUCUGUGGGACCCAGACAGUUUGUUCCCGGUGUAUGCCAGGUAUGUGAUAAUUCAAGGGAGUAAGGUGUCCCAGAGGUUUAAUUUCCAGAGAGCAAGGACUGCUUUUUCCCUGGGAUUGUUGGGGCGGUAGUAGAAAGAACAUGAUCUCUGAGGACAAAGGCCCCUGAAAGUUGACCCACUCAUCUACUCACUAGCUUUGUGUCCCUGUAUGAGGUUAUGAUGACCCAACCUGAGAACGUAUACCAUAACUGGUUGCCCACAUGAGUCUCUUUUCUAUUUGAAAUUGCCCAAUUAUCUUUCAGAUGAUGAGCUAGUCAUGAACCCCAAAGUGUUUCCUCACAUCAAGCUUGGAGACAUUGUGGAGAUUGCUCACCCCAAUGAUGAAUACAGGUAAACCUCUCAUUAGGAUCAAGGGAACUAAUUGGACAGGCUGAUGUUUCUGAAUAUUUUGUUUAAGGGGCUUGAUGGGCAAGACAGCUCUUAGCUUUUACAUAAAAAUGUUCCUGUUCUCUAGGAUUUGAUAAACCGAUGAUCUUUUAAAAAGUAGUCUAUUCUUUUGUUUUUAAAGCUGAAAUGAGAACUCUGAAAAUUGUGUAGCAUUUAUCUGUUUCCUUGAGUGCAAGUGCAUAGUUUCUUUGUUUCUAAGAGAACUUUCUCCCCUUGUUGUGCUGCAGGUUACAUUAUGUCCAGAGGGAUCUGUUUGCCUUUUGUUGGGGGGUGAAAAAAGCUGGUUAAUUACCGCUUACAGCAUCCUAUCUCUUUGUUGCUUUUUUCUCCAGCCCUCUGCUUUUGCAGGUCAAAUCACUUAAGGAAGAUUUACAGAAAGGUAAGAAUUCCAUCUCUCUUCUCUAAGAUUUUUGUACUUAGAGAAACUGUUUCAGAAACUGUAAGAAAUGUCUCUUCAUAAUCUCAGGGAAUGUGGGCAGCAUACUUCUUUCCUUAUCAAAUUGUGUUCCCUUAAAAAAAUUGUCAGAUAUUGAAACUGCCAAGGAAUCUCAUUUGUCAGCAUCUUGAGGGCACUGAAGGAAUCAUCAUCUUUUUUUUUUUUUUUAAGGGUUUAUUUAUUUAAGUGAUCUCAGUACUCAAUGUGGGGUUCAAACUCACAAUCCAAAGAUCAAGAGUUGCAUGUUCUACUGACUGAGCCAGCCAGGCACCCCAAGAAGCCAUCUUUCUUGUCAGGGGGAAAGUUAACCUGCAUAGGUGAAGCUUUAUGCUUAACUCCAAACAAAACAAAACAAAACAAAACAAAAAACAAAACAAAACAAUUGUUGGCAAAGCAUGCUUUCCUAAAUAUUUUUUCACAAGAUGUGUGUGAAGUGCCUACUCUGGGUGAGACAGGAUAAAGAAACAUUGAUCAUUACCUAUCACAAAUGCAAGGCACUGUGCUGAGAGCUUUUUGUAAUGUCUCUUUCUUUUUGUCUUCCCACACAACUCUUGACUGAGUGAGGAAACUUAAUCUCAGCGAGGUGAAUUAGCUUGUCUGAAGUCAGUAAGUGGAGGAGGCAGAGCCGCCAUUCUACUUUCUCAUUCUGGAUCUGAUCCCCUUACCAUGGGGGAUCAAAGAACCAAAAUGUUAAUUGAUAGCAAAUAAAGUAAUUCCUUAAAUAGUACUUAAAAGCAAAAAAAUUAUAAUGUAUUCUAAAGGAUUGUGAUGUCCACUACUUUUACAAUACAAUAUGAUGGGGAAAUAUUUUAUAAAAUCCAAAUCCUAAUAGUCUCUUCCUUACCCUCACCAUCCCAUUUCCUGCCACCUGUUAUGUUUUUUAUUUACCAGAUGUAUGGGCUCAUUGAAAAGUUUGUUUCUCUCUUAUCUACCUUCUCUACUUUCAUUCCAAGUGAGAAAAGAUCUCCUUCCUCUUCUGAACUUUCAUAGUUCUUUGAACUUUUUUUUUUAAUGUUUUAUUUAUUUUUGAGAGAGAGAGAGAGACAGAGUGUGAGCAGGGGAGGGGCAGAGAGAGAAGGAGACACAGAAUCUGAAGCAGGCUCCAGGCUCCGAGUUGUCAGCACAGAGCCUGAUGUGGGGCUUGAACUCACAAACUGCGAGAUCAUGACUUGAGCCAAGUUGGACACUUAACCAACUGAGCCACCCAGGCGCCUCAGCAGUUCUUUGAACUUUUUGAAGUUGCUUCUUAAAUUCGUUAUUUUCCUCUGUCUCCAUUUCUGUCUCUCUUAUUUUAUUUUAUUUUUUAUUUUAUUUUAUUUUUUUUUGCACAGAACCCGGUGUGGGGCUUGAUCCCACGAACCAUGAGAUCGUGACCUGAGCUGAAGUCAGACACUUAACUGGCCCAGGCACCCUUCUGUCUUUCUCGUAUUUUAAUUGCUAGAGGCUCAGGUCUUAUUUCACCUGCUUGCUUCACCUAAAAAGCAGAGAAUUCAAAACUUUAAGAUGCUGGAAGGCAGAGAAUAUUUCUUGCCCAUGUCCAAGGAUCAUUUGUGUUGCAUGUCAAAUGAGUAUUUAUAGAUUAGAAACUUGCUUCUUUUGAAUAUGUUAUCUGAUCCAGAUUUCUUCUGUUUCAGAAACUAUUAGCGUGGACCAGACCGUGACUCAAGUGUUCCGUCUAAGACCUUAUCAAGAUGUUUAUGUGAAUGUUGUAGACCCUAAGGUACGUUUUGGUUCUGGACUUGAAUAUCUUUUGGGAAUGAUUAAUACCAUUCCUAAAGGUUAGGUCUCUAAGGUAAUAACGAGUUGCUUAAGUGUAGUGUUGGACUAUUAAAUAUGUGGUUGUAUAUAGGUCAUUUAGAUUAUAGGUAUUAUGUAGGUUUCAUUUAAAGCCCUUACCCGGGGCGCCUGGGUGGCUCAGUUGGUUGAGCGUCCGACUCCGGCUCAGGUCAUGAUCUCACAGUCCGUGAGUUCGAGCCCCACGUUGGGCUCUGUGCUGACAGCUCAGAGCCUGGAGCCUGUUUCAGAUUCUGUGUCUCCCUCUCUCUCUGAACCUCCCCUGUUCAUGCGCUCUCUCUCUCUGUCUCAAAAAUCAACAAAGGUUAAAAAAAUUAAAAAAAAAAAGCCCUCACCUUUUUUUUCUUAAAGUGUGUACUAAAAAGAUUCUAUAUAUAUGUCUGCUUGUGAAGCUAAUAGUAAAAUUUUCUAUUGAAAUAUAAUUUUUCUGUGUGUUCUCUUUUUUUUUCUGAAAUGAGAAAUGAUGUUAUAAUAGGUAAAAAUCAUUGUGUAUAAGAUAUCAUUGACAUUCUCUAAAGAAAUAAAGCACAGAGCUCAGUGGCCUGUUUAUGUGCCAGAGUCAAGACUAAACACAGAAUUAUUACUUUGGUACUCUUUGCACUUAAUCAUGAUACAGCUGCUGUAGCAUCUGUUGUAGACUUAUCAUCUGUGCUCAAAAGCCUUUCCUGGCAGGAUGAAAUUCUGUUUGUCAGGUUUCUGUUAUUGGAUGGUCUUCUAGUAGUUUUUUCUUGCUAAAAGGGUUCUUCAUGCUUAGUGUGCAUUAUCUUAAGACUAUGAAGUGUGGCAGAGUAAUGCAGAGAGAUAUAUUUGAUUAUCCCUUUUAGGAUGUGACCCUUGACCUAGUGGAAUUAACCUUUAAGGAUCAAUAUAUUGGCCGAGGGGAUAUGUGGCGAUUAAAGAAGAGUUUGGUAAGAUAUGAUUUUAAAAAAAAAGUCUCUUACUUUUCCCAUUGUAUUAAUAAUCCAUGUUCCUCAUAGAGAUAGAUUUAGUGGAGAGAAGAGUAUAAAAUCCUUUCCAAUUCCAACAUCACAGAUAAUUAUUGUAAAUUCUUUGUGUAUCUUCUUCCAUUCUCUUUUUGUAGUUUUUUUGAGCUUUGAUUUGCUUGUUUAUAGAUUUUUACUUCACAUUUUUUUGUUUGGAUGGUAAAUUAUAAUAUCGUUUUACAUUUGAAUGGAACUUUAGCUUUCAGAUGUUCACAUCACCUCCCUGUGGACAGGUAUUUAUUACCCAUAUAAAUUUAUUAGCUUAUAGAUGUGAAAACAGAUUGAAAAGGUAAGUGAUUACCCAAGCCAAAAAAAACAGUCAGUGGUUGACACCAAGCUAGAACCCAGAUUUUGUUGCUUCCAGGUUAGACUGCUUUUUUGCCACAUCCUGCUCCUGUUUUCUUGGUUUCUUUAUUUUGAAUUAACAUUUUCCACCUAAAAUGAUCAGUUCGUUGCGAGCUGGUACUGAACAUUCUUCUUAUUAGGCAUUUUGAGUAUUAUGAAGCAACGCAUUGUAGGUAGAAUUUUCUUUCAUACAGUGUAUAUUUUCAGAAAAAAAUGUUUGCUCAUUUUUUUUUUGGAUGGGAGAGAGUUCCAUUCUAUAAAUUGAGAGCUGAAAUAAGAAAUCAAUGUUCUGUAAUUAAAUGAGUAUGUAAAUGUAGAUAUAUACGUAAACAUGUGUGAAGAUAAAUGUAUUAGUGAGGCUAGGCGUUUAUUCUUACUGUUGUCUAUACUUGCCACACUCGUAAGAACCUACUGUUAUACCUGCCCCAGCAGGUUUCCCUAUGGGGUAAAUCUAUUACUCCCACAUUAAUUGAACCUUGGGUUAUUAGAAGAAAUUAGAAAGGCAGGAGACUUUCUUUGUGACCUUUUAUGGCCUUGAUGUGUUGUUGAAUCUCAUAGUCUUUCUCUUUCUGUCUUCCCUUAGGUCAGCACAUGUGCCUAUAUCACUCAGAAGGUGGAAUUUGCUGGCAUCAGGUAGAUAUUACAUCACUCUUGACUUAUCAGCUAGUAAAUGGAAGUAGGAGCUAGUGUAGUAACUGGGCUGCAUACAGCAUUGGAGGCAUGUGGAUGUCUGUAUGAUAAAAUACACAAUAGCUUAAAAUGUUAGAUUGUUGUUGCUGAAGCAAACUGAAAAAAUCCCAAAAUGCGCUAUAGUGGUUUUAAGAUGAGUGGAAGUUGCUGAAAAAAUCCCAAAAUGCGCUAUAGUGGUUUUAAGAUGAGUGGAAGUUGCUGAAGCCACGUGGUAUUCUGUAAUAAAGGAGGUAUAGACUCAUAAUUUUAGAACUAGAAAAAGCCUUAGAUGAAUGUAUUUAAUCAAGCUUUCUCAUUUUACAGAUUAAAAAACAUAUUUGGAGAUACAAAAUGACUAGCACAGUAGUUCCUGGUUUGCUGCCUUUUUAACCAUAUUGCAUGACUCUUGAUUUAUUCUAAUUAUCCCUAAAUUUCAGUUUGUGGAGAAGAGCAAAAAAGGGCCUUUUAAUUCAAAGAGCACAUUGUCCACAGAGUAAGGCCUUCAAACAGUGCAAAAAGUGUAUAAUGAAAAACAAAUCCUUCUUCUCAGAAAAAAUGGUCUCUUUCCUGAAAUUCAUUAUGUAUAACACAAGCAUAUUUACAUCUGGUUGACUCACUUUUAAUGGCACUAGAAUUGACCAGUGGGUUCUGGUGAUGUAGUCUGGUCCUCCAUUAUGAAGUUCCCCAUCAACUUUUCUCCUAAUGGUUUCACUCAUUUAUGAUUGUUGCAAGAUGGUGAUUUUCUUUUCUUUUCUUUUUUCUUUUCAUUAAUGUUUAUUUAUUUUUGAGACAGAGAGAGGCAGAGAGCACAUGUGCAUAAUCAGGAGAGGGGCAGACAGAGGGGAGUACAGAGGAUCGCGAGCAGGCUCUGCACUAACAGCAGAGAGCCCGAUGCGGGGCUUGAACUCAUGAACCAAAAGAGAUCAUGACUGGAGCCGAAGUCAGAUGCUUAACUGACUGAGCCACCCAGGUGCCUGGGUGAUUUUUCUACUUCAGUCAUUUCUCCUACCUUUGUUAGCUAGAAUCCUUUUUGUAAAGAACUUUUCUUCCUCAACUAGACCUGUUUGAUUAAUCUGAACUACUGAUCCUAAAGGAAAGAAAAGAUAAAGGAUUAUUUUUUCCCCCCAAAUGGGGAUGUUUUAAAAGUUGGAGGAUCAAGGGGCUCCUGGGUGGCUCAGUCGGUUAAGUGUCCUACUUCAGCUCAGGUCAUGUUCUCGUGAUUUGUGAGUUCGAGCUCCAUGUUGGGCUCUAUAGUAACAGCUCAGAGCCUGGAGCCUGCUUCGCGUUCUGUGUCUCCCUCUCUCUUUGCCCCUUCCCCACUUGUGCUCUGCUCUCUCAAAAAUAAGUGAAAAAUAAAAAAAAAAUUUUUUUUAAAUGUUGAAGGGUCAAGAUUCCUUGAAAAAUCUUAGAAGAUUUUAAAGCACAGCCCACGAAGUGACUAAGCCUCGAGCAAAACAAGAAAUGGAACCUAGAUUCACGCUUUCCAGUACAAGCUAGUGUCUCCAAAGUGGUGGGCCAGGAGUCAGGAAAGCUGUAAUCUACUCCUGCACUGCUGGUGAUUAGCAGGGUGAUGUGGGCAGGUCGGGGAGACUCUUGAGUCUACUCUGCAAAAUGAAGUGUUUGGUUUAGAAUCUUUUUCUGUGAAGGACCAGAGAGUAAAGAUUUUGCACUUCAGGCCACAUGGGUCUCAGGUCUCUGUCCCAAAUUCUUAGUUUUUUGUUUUGUUCAACAUUUAAAAAUAUAAAAUCCAUUCUUAGCUGUGGGCCAUACAGAAAUAGGAGAUGGGCUGAAUUUGGCCUGCAGGCUAUAGUUAGCUGAGCCCUGGUUUAGAAACCCACUCAGAUGCCAUUCAUUCUUACAUUUCUUGUUUUUCUGCACAAGUGCCCUUAUCCAUAUGGUACCAGAUAUAGAAAUGAAAACUCAUGACAUAACAUCAGGUUUAGACUUUUAAAGAUCUGUCCUAAUAUUUUGCUCAUUCAUGGUUAAAUGUAAGCCACAAAAUCUACCAUUUCUCCAGAAGACUUAUUUAUAGUCUUCCUAUGCUGAAUCAAAAGUUACUUUUUUUUCUACAUGGAGGCAUGCAAAUUAAAAAAAAAAAAAAGGAAGAUGCUCUGGGACCUUAUAUAAGAAAAGAUAGUCAUUAUUUAUAUAAAGUCAUAAUUAUUAAAUAAUUUUUCUGUAACUUAGUCUUUUCACCCGGUAAUUGAGUUAAUACAUAAGGACAUAUGAGACAGUUCCAUUACCUUGAGACCCUGCCUUUGAAAUGUCAUUUUUCCUUCGAAGGUAAACAUUUUGAUUUUCUCUGACUAAAUUCUCCAUGUAUUCUUUAAUCAGUACUGCAAUCAGUAUUUUUUUAAAAAAGUAAAGUUUUAAAAGAAAAGUAUGAUCUCCUAAAAAUCAGCAUUUUGCUUUUUUUAACUGUGGAACUUAGAAACCUAUUUGAUAGACCUAGAAGUCUAUUUGAUCUCAUUGUGAACAAAUCUCAUUUUUCCAGAUAGAGUUUUUGGGACUGUUGACUAGCUAAGGUUUCUUUUUUUACUUAAAAAAAAAAAAAAAUUGUGUGUGUGUGUGUGUAUGGUUUCCUGUUGGAUCUGCCGUACUGCAGAGGAUCAUCUGGGAUCUUCUCUGAUUUGAAUUUGAUUCUCUGGUGGCCAUUUGGUUGGAAUGUCUUUCCUAGUUAUAGAAUUAAUAUUAUUAAGUACCACUUGUUCAUCAAAUGCUAGAUACCAAGCAUAUGCUAAAUAUUUUUAUAUAUAAUACUUGCUCAUUGUAGACCAUUUGAAAAACAGAUUAAAGAAGCAGGAAAAAGAAACAAUUUACCACUCAGAAUCAACCACUGUUAACAUUUUGACACAGUUCUGUCAAAAUGUAGUACCCUUUUUGGCUUGAGAACAUAUAGUAUAUAUGAUUUUAAUUUUUUUUUUUUUUCAACGUUUAUUUAUUUUUUGGGACAGAGAGAGACAGAGCAUGAACGGGGCAGGGGCAGAGAGAGAGAGACACACACAGAAUCGGAAACAGGCUCCAGGCUCCGAGCCAUCAGCCCAGAGCCUGACGCGGGGCUCGAACUCACGGACCGCAAGAUCGUGACCUGGCCGAAGUCGGACGCUCAACCGACUGCGCCACCCAGGCGCCCCUAGUAUAUAUGAUUUUAUAUACAAUUAAAAAAAAAGAGCCCAAAACAGUUUUCAUAAUUAAAAAGAAAACAUUUAUUCUAGAAAAUUUGGGUAAUACAGAGAGUAUAAAGAAGAAAAUUUACAGUGGUAUAUAAGCCUACUAUGUACAGAUAACCGUGUUUAAAUUUUGGUGUGAUCUUUUAGUAUUUUCUUUUAAAAAAUGUUUUUUAGGGACAUCUGGUCACUCGGUCGGUUGGGCAUCUGACUCUUGGCAUAAAGCCUGCUUGGGAUUCUCUCUCUCCCUCUCUCUGUCCCUCCCCUGCUUGCUCAUUCACUCUCUCAAAACAAAUUUUUUUUUAAAUUAAAAAAAAUUUUUUUUAAUGUUUAUUUUUGAGAGGCAGAGCAUGAGCUGGGGAGGGCAAAGAGGGAGGGAGACACAGAAUCCGAAGCAGGCUGCAGGCUCUGAGCUGUCAGCACAGAGCCCAACACGGGACUUGUACUUACCAGCUGUGAGAUAAUGACCUGAGCUGAAGUUGGACACCUAACCGACUAAACUGCCCAGGUACCCCUCCAAAAAAAUUUUUAAGUGAUCUCUGUGCCUAUCGUGGGGCUUGAAUUCAAAACUCCAAGAUCAAGAGUCACAUGCUCUACGGACUGAGCCAGCCAGGCUCCCCUUAGUGUUUUAUUUUCAUAUAUACAUACACAUGCUUGUAUUUUUACUUAGAUGGUGAUACUAUGUGUACUAUUUUGUAUCCUUUUUUUCCCACUUAAAAGCAUAUAAACAUUUCUGGAAGUUAAAACUCCUUGUAAAUAUUGUUUUAAUGGUUCCAUGAUACUCUGUUUACUUAACUGGUCUGCCAUUGCUGGACAUUUAGGUUGUUCAAAGUUGUGCUGCGUGGAUGACACUACAGCGACCACACUCUGCAUUUAUUUUAACUUCAUAUUCACAGAAUGAUGAAAUUUAGCUGUAAAAGAUAGUGGAGAUCACUGACUCCCAGCAGCUCACUUGAUAGAAAAGGGAGGGGAAGUGCCUGCCCAAGCUGCUACAUAAUUAAGGACUAGUGCCCCCCAGGUCACCUUUACCCUCCUGGGAGUUGGCCAUGUGCCAUUCUGCCUCUCUUGUAGGAAGCCAUGUGCACUCUUGGGUUUUGCCCUGGGGAUAUGGAUUUUACAUUUGCAUCUGUCAGUGGCUCUGUUUCUUCCCUUGAAUCUGCGGAAAAGACAAGAGAAGCUACCUCAGGGCCAACCUCAAUUCCUGUUUGGGUAAGAGCAGAUUUUAGGUUUAGGAGCAAAGGUCACGAUUGCAUUUUCUCUGUGUGUUAUAAAGAACCAUUUCCAUUGGAAUGAUAACUGUUUCAUAGUUCACCAAGUCCUCUCAUUUAUAGUAUCUCAUUGGAUCUUCCCAAGAGCUGUAGAAGAUGGAUGGGGCAGGGUUAUUAACCACAUAUACUGAUUUUUCAAAAACUGGCUCAGAAAGAUUGUGGCUUGACCUCCACAGGGAAUGGAGGUGCAGGAAUCUAAGCCCAAAUUUUGUAACACUACUUUGUCUAUACAUACUAGCAGAAGUUGGUGAGUUAGAGCAGUAACAAUGAGCUCCAUUUAGAGAUCUGGUUAAUCUAGCAUUCAGUAGCCUGUAUGCAGAGUACUUCCUGCUAAUAGAACUCAGAGAUCUUGGGAACAUUGCAUCCUUCCUUCUGUUAAAGAAACAGAAGUGCCUUCUCAGAUGAGGCUUGCUACUUGUCCACUCACAGACACACUGAGCAGAGGAAUGCCAAAAAGCACCCCUGUUGCUGAAAGCAGAGCUGGGAAGCAUAUUUUAAUGUUUUUUUUUUUAAAGUUUAUUUAUUUAUUUAUUUUGAGAGAAAACACGAGUCAGGGAGUGGCAGAGAGAGAGGGAAAGAGAAUCCCAAGCAGGCUUUGAGGAGCCCUAUGUGGGGCUCAAACCCACAAACUGUUAGGUCAUGAUCUGAGCCUAAGUUGGACACUUAACCAACUGAGCCACCCAGGCACCCCUGGGAAGCAUAUUUUAAUUGGUCUAGCUUUCUUCAUUUUACAGGUGGGAGGGAAAGCCAGUAAGGCUGACUGAUUUGUCCAAUGUUUCUCAGGUAGGCUGAGCUGUGACUCAUGGUACACAGCAUUUUCCUUGCUUUGAUUUUAUCUUUUCUUCUUUUUUUAUGAGGACUGAUUGCUUAGGGCCAGACAGGAGAUUGCUUUGGGGUUGGUAGAAGACAAGGGCUUGAGUGGUUGGUUGAGGGAUGAUUAUGAGGUACUCAGAUAACAGCUACCACUUCCUUUCCAGAAGAGCAUUUUGUGUUAAUAUUUACCAGUGGUAUAGUUCUUGCUAAUGCAAAUACCUGCUAGUACUUACUUGAGCACCUCCUAUCCCAGCACUGUCCAGAAUAGUUUCCCCACAUUAUCUGGUUUAAUUCUCAGAACAGCUCUACAAAGUAGAUGUCAUUAUCUCCUUUUUUAAGAUAAGGACACUGGGUCUCACAGAGUUAUUUCCCCAUGGCUAUUCAGCUAGUUCAGUGACUCUUAGAACUUAGAUUCCUGAUGGGACUCGUUCCACUCAAGUCUGAUCUCCUCAGAAGGCCAUGUUCUUUGAACUGUCUGUCCAUUUUGUGCCCUUAAAAAGUUGCAGAGGAAAAGACAUUCAGCCCCCCAAAUGCAAUACCAAAUUGCCAUGAAAACUUUUCAGCAGAAUGGCCUCCAUUGAAUGUGAACCCUGUCCCUAUAUGCCUCCUGACUGCUUGUCUUCUUUAUUAAAGUAUUUUUUUUUAAGUUUUUAUUUAUUUACUUUUGAGAGAGAGCGAGUGAAAGAGAGCAAGUGUGCGCACACGCACAAGCAGCUCCUGGGAGGGGCACAGAGAGGGGGACAGAGGAUCUGAAGCAGGCUCUGCAUGCACAGCACAGAGCCUGAUGUGGGGCUCGAACUCAUGAACCUCGAGAUAGAUCAUGACUUGAGCCGAAGGCAGAUGCUUAACUGACUGAGCCACCCAGAUGUCCCCAUGACUGCUUAUCUUCUAAUUCUGAUAUUAGGAUUGAUUUUGUUUCUGUUGAAACUCCACAUUCAUGAGAAAGUUCACAGAACUUUCACAACUGUUGAAGGCUGGGAUUAGCAAAAUUGUUCAUUCGUUCUUCCUAACUGUUUUUGUGAUGUGGACCCUUUUGAGAUUUGACAAAAGCUAUAAUUCUCUGCCCAGAAAACUUUGCAUGAUUUCAGAGAAAUCAUGGAUUUCCUGAAUCCCUCCUGAGAAUGACAUGUUGUUUAUAGAGUCCCAGAUUAAGAACUGUCAUACAAAUUCAGUACACUCUGAGAAUUCUUUAUGUUGUGUAAUCUUUUCAUGGCUUUCUGGAAAUCUGUAACUGGCCAGGUCAUUUGAGGAUAAAUAUGAGAGUACAGUGAGCCACCCUGAAGUCAUCCCUGUUUCUUCUUGGUUUAUGUAAGACUUGUAAUAACUCUUGCAUGUAUAUCUUUUCAGGGCACAGGCUGGUGAGCUGUGGGUCAAGAAUGAAAAGGUCAUGUGUGGUUAUAUCAGCGAAGAUACCAGGGUGAGAUUGAUAAAAUGCAUUUGUGGUUUUGUUUCUUCAUACUGUUAUGUCUGAGUCCUGAACUCAAAAGACAAAACAGAGACAAGCAAAAACUUGUCUCCUGAUGGCUACUGUUCUCAGGUAGAUAAUAUUUUAAUAUUGUCAAGGAUGUCUGAAAUUUUAGUGUUUUAUAGUUGGAUCUAUCCAGUUUGGGGUUGAUCUUCAUUUUCUCUUCUGAAAGAGGUCUAAAUGUGGAAAUAUAGUGUCUAACCUGCAGGCUUCUUUGCCUACGAAUACAUCGCAAAGGUUAAACUCAGUAGAAGAUUGCAGUCGGUAAACAUGAACAGAGACCUUUGCAAAGGAAAUCUCGUUCUUUGGUUCUUUAUCCCAGUUGGAAAAAGCCAAACUGAACAACUGUAAGCAUUACCCAUGCUGGUGAAACCACCUGUCUGCUCUUCCUUGUUCUCAUCCUCUGCCUCCCUUGAGAGCAGUGGUUUGAACUGAAGGUGAUAUUGCCUCCCCAGGGGACUUUUGGCAAUGUCUGGAGAUAUUUUUAUAUGUCACAGCUAGGAUUAUGUGAAGAAUGUUGCUAAGCAUGAUACAAUGUAUAAGACAGAUCUCCAGACCAAAGAAUUAUCUGGUCCAAAAUGGCAGUGUUGUGGUGGGGGUGCUGUCUGGUGUACUGUGGGAUGCUUAGCAGCAUCCCUAGCCUCUGUACGCUAGAUACGGGUAGUGCCCUGCAGGUCACGACAACCAGACAUGUCUCCAGACAUCACCAAAUGGCCCUAGUUGAGAACCAAUGCCUUCAUAGGUAACUACUAUCUGAAUUUUAUUUUUGUAUUUUUCCUUGUUUGCGUAGUGUUAAUACAUACAUAUGUUACUCUAAACAGUUUACUGUAUAUUUGUUUUGCUUAUUUUUGAGCUUUAUUAAAGUGAAAUUAAAAAAACAGUCCUUUUUAGCUAGCUUUUUUUGUACUUGAUACUAUAUUUUAAGUCUAUAAUUAGGAGUAUAUGGGUUAUAGGUAAAAUAAUGCCAAACUCUUUUUCAAAUUCUUUGGACCACUUAGUAUUCCUAGUAGCAAUAUAUAAAAAUCUGUUGUUUUUCAUUUUUUUUCCAACACUUGGUGUGAGAUUUUUUAAAGUUUCUUGCAGCUCUAGUGGGCAUAGAUUGGUAUAGUGAUCUUGUUUUGCCUCUCUCCAGUUUUCUAGAAAUUUACUCUUUUUUUUUUUUAAGUUUAUUUACUUUUGAGAGAGAGAGAGAGAGAGAGAGCAAGAGCGAGUGCAUGUACGUGCCGGGGAGGGGCAGAAAGAGAGGGGGACAGAGGAUCUGAAAUGGGCUAUGUGCUGACAGCUGAGAUUCUGAUGUGGGGCUUGAACUCAUGAACUGUGAGAUCAUGACCUGAGCCAAAGUAGGCCACUUAAUUGACUGAGCCACCCAGGUGCCCCUCUAGAAAUUCACUCUUGGGGCGCCUGGUGGCUUGGUCGCUUAAUUAAGCGUCUGACUUUGGGUCAGGUCAUGAUCUCAUAGCUUGUGAGUUCAAGCUCUGCAUUAGGUUCUGUGCUGACAGCUCAGAGCCUGGAGCCUGCUUCAGAUUCUGUGUCUCCCUCUCUCUCUACCCCUCUCCUGCUCACUCUCUGCCUCUCUCUCUCUCUCAAAAAUAAAUAAACAUUAAAAAAAAAAAAGAUAUUACUCUUAAGCAUGAUUUACAAAGACUAGGAUAAUUUGGUGUAUGUUUACCUCUUCAACCUUAUUCAUACACUUAUGAUAACUAAUAUGGAAGCGCCUCUUGUGUGUCAGCUACUGUACUUUUUUUUUAUACUUUGUUUUUAAUAUAUUUUUUAAAUUUUAUUUUAGGGAGGGAAAGUCCCAUUGUGGGGCUUGAUCUCACGAAGCAUGAGAUCAUGACCUGGGCCGAAAUCAAAGAGUCGGACAUUCAACCUACUGAGCCACCCAGGUGUCCCUACACUUAAUUUUUAAUGGCUCCUGGCUGGCUCAGUUGGUAGAGCAUGCCUCUCGACCUCUGGGGCAUGAGUUUGAGCCCCGCACUGGGCGUAAAGAUUACUUAAAAAACAAACUGGUACAGGGGCGCCUAGGUGGCGCAGUCGGUUAAGCGUCCGACUUCAGCCAGGUCACGAUCUCGCGGUCCGUGAGUUCGAGCCCCGCAUCAGGCUCUGGGCUGAUGGCUCAGAGCCUGGAGCCUGUUUCUGAUUCUGUGUCUCCCUCUCUCUCUGCCCCUCCCCCAUUCAUGCUCUGUCUCUCUCUGUCCCAAAAAUAAAUAAACGUUGAAAAAAAAAAAAAACUGGUACAGAACAUUAUCCAUGAAUAUCCUUCAUUCUAGAGGGGAAUUCAGAGUGGGGAAUUCCCAUUCAAUGGGGAUGCACGGGUAAACAGCACAAACAAGAUCCCUCCCAGUAAGGAGCUUACACUGUAGUGGGGAGAUAGAUGUAAGUAGAUACCCAGUCCAUAAAUGUGGUAAUUACAGAUUAUGAUGAAUACUCCAAAGGAGAUUAAUCGGGUAAUGAGAAAGACUGAGUGUGGCCACCUUAGUAAACAAGUGACAUAAAUGAAAACUUCUAGGGAAAGAGAUGGGCAUUGUGGUAGAGAAUAACAAGAGACCUUCUUUACAAAGGUGGGCAGGGAGGUGUCUCCGAGAAGGUGCCAGAAAGGUGAGACUUAGUGUAUGAAGGUUGAGACAAAGAGCGUUCCAGGCAGAAGAAACAAUUGUGAGAGGCCAGUGUGACAGAAGCCUAGGGUAUGAGUAGGGAGAAUGAUGUCCAUAUGAAGGUGGUCUGGUUCCAGCCAGUUCAUGCAGGUCCUUGUAACCAGUGUAGAGUGUAUUCUAAGGACGAUCUGCUGAAGGAUUUUAAGGGGGGAGUGAUUUCCAAAUUAGGCUUCCAAAAGAUUACUUAUUCUGUUGGAUUUUUUUGUUGUUGUUACAUAAGUUAAUACCUUUGUUAUAGACUAGUGAUGUUUCAAAUGGUGGAACUUCUACUGGUCUUUGAAUUCUUUCAGGGCUGACUUUGCUGUGAUGGCGGAAGUGUUGUGUGUCCAGGCAGCAUGGGCUAUUCUUUGCAUACAGGAACCACAGUGCCAGAUCCCCACAACUCGUCUUCAUCUUAGUUUUGUCACAGAAGGAGCAUGUGUACUUGUGCUGGCUUUUUUCAAUUUUCUUUACGAUUUUCCUGAUGGAGGCCCCAUAACAGGUCCUGUAUUUACCGACAAUUCUAAUUUUCGUGGUGCAUUUAACCAUGUUGCCACAAACUGGGGCCAAGCUCAGAGAGCCAUCCAGUUGGAUUUUGUUGAACAAAAAAACCUAAAGUAGCAAUGGCAAGCAAAGUCAACUUUUUUCUCUCUGGUAAAAUAAGUCAUUGGGUAGGCCAUUCACUGCUAGGAUGGCAUUGUCACAAUUAUUGGUGAUCUAGAUAGGUUUUUUUUUUUUUUUUAAUUUUUUUAACGUUUAUUUAUUUUUGAGACAGAGAGAGACAGAGCACGAAUGGGGGAGGGUCAAAGAGAGGGAGACACAGAAUCUGAAACAGGCUCCAGGCUCCGAGCUGUCAGCACAAAGCCUGACGCGGGGCUCGAACUCACGGACCGACCGCGAGAUCAUGACCUGAGCCGAAGUUGGCCACCCAACCGACUGAGCCACCCAGGCGCCCCUAGAUAGGUUUUUUUGUCUUCCUGUUCUGCCUUCCUCAGGAUUGGGCUUCCAUGGUUCAGUUGGAGCUGCUGUAACCACUUCAUAUUCCAGGUAGAAGAGAGAGGAGCUACUUAGGAAGCCGGGAGGUUUAGUCUUUUGAUAGUCCCUUGCCUUCCGGAAUAGUGUUGGCUUCCCAUUACGUAGGAAGAAAGGAUGUGCCAUAGGCAUCCACAGUAUGUGCUGUAGCCACUCUGGCUCUGUGUAGAGCAUUGUUUGUAGGGGCAAGAGUAGAAGCAGAGAAAUGGCUUAAGAAGUUAGAAGACUGUGGCAUGGACUGAGGUUAGAGCUGUAGCAACGGAGAGAUGUGGGCAGACUUGGGAUGCGUUUUGGGAUAGAGUCUACAAAACUUGCUGAUGCAUUGGAUAUAAGGAGCAAAGGAAAGAGAAGAAUUGAUCAGCUCGAUAGACAGUUGGUGGUGUCAUUUAUGAGAUGGGGAAGACAGGAGGAGACAUUUGGAAGCAUUUGAGAAAAGAUAUUGGUGAGAUACCUGUUGGGCUUCUGAGAGGAGAAAUCUGGGGAGGCAGGUGAGUCUGGAGCUCAUUUUGUCACUUCUCCCAUAUGUGCCCCUCCCCUCCAAACCCUACCACCCUAUCCUGUCCUGCCCUUGGGAACCAUUUGCUAUUCCUUAAACAUGCCACAUUCUCUCUUGCCUCUGUAUCUUUGCACAUACUACUCUCUCCUGCCUAGAGCACUUAGAUCCUGCCUUCCCCCCUUACAAGCUACUCAUCCAUCCUUUCGCACUCCUCUCAGGCUUCCUUGCUUCUGGAAAGCCUUCCUAGUUCCUGAGGCAGUCUGGGUAUGAAGGGCAUGUACGAUGUGAAUUAUAAUUUAUUAGACUGGCAGCUCAUCAACUGGCAUAUCUUAGCCCAGCUUCUACAUUCAUAAUGAGCUUUUCUUUUCUUUCCCAGGUAGAUUUAUUGUCCUUUCUCCUAUGUUUCUUAUGAGAACCUUCAUGGAAUGUUUGUAUAUGUUGCUGUCUUUUGCACAUCUUAAUCCUCUACUAUAAUUUUCUAAAAGGCAGGGACAGGAUCUUCUCUUCAGAGUUUAUGAUGUGAGGGAUGAAGCUUGCUUUUAGAAAUCCCAUGCCACAAUUGAGAAAAUCUUCCAUCAUUGGUUUUUUUUGGGGGUGGGGUGGGGUUAAAGACAUUUAAGAUUUACUGUCUUAUAUUUCAUUUCUUUUAUUUAUUUUUUAAGAUUUUAUUUUUAAGUAGCUCUGCACCCAAUCUGGGGCUCGAACUUGGAACCCUGAGAUCAAGAGUCACAUGGUCUAUGGACUGAGCCAGCCAGACGCCCCAUGUCUUAACCAUUUUAAAGUGUACAGUUCAAUAGUGUUAAGUACAUUUACAUUGUUGUGAAAUGAAUCUACAGAACUUUUUCUUCUUGCGCAACUGAAACUACAUCAUUGCUUUUUAAUGCAACUAUGUUUUUGUUUAUUACAGGUGGUGUUCCGUUCUACGUCGGCUAUGGUUUACAUAUUUAUUCAGAUGAGCUGUGAAAUGUGGGAUUUCGAUAUUUAUGGUACUGUCCCUAAGUGAUGGUUGUAGCUGCCAUUGGGUAGAUAUUUCUGGUUUCCCCCAAGUUGGUAUCAUUUUAUAGCAAGAUGUUGACAUUCUCUAAAAAUGUAUCUUGAGAUCUUUAUAAGUCCUCAAAUGCGAAAAUAAAUAUAUUGAAAGUAAAUAUUUUACACACACACACACACACACAGACAUUUAUUUAUUUAUUUGGUGAAUUCCAUGAAAUGCUGUACAGUAUUAAUGGAAAAUCUGACUUCUCAGAUCUUUAAUUGUUCUGUAAGUAUAGGUUGAAAAGUCAUAAAGUCACUCUGUGGGUAGGAACCAACACUUUCUUUGAUAUCUUUCAUUUCUCUUCCUGUAACUCAGAGAAAUCUCCAUGUUGGUCUCAUUUUAUUAGAAUUACUAUGUAAUGAGUAGAGGGAAGAAAAGCUGCUAUGAGGUGUGGAUACUGUGUCCAACACACCAACCCUAUAGUGCAUGUAUUUCAUAUUUGUGUUUAGCACAUUAUAAGCAAAUUUGUGCCAUGGGUCAUCAAGGUCACUCAAGAACAGCAAGAACUGCAAAUGAUAAUUCAGUGAAUGCCCAGGGUCCUCUUCUAAUCAACUUUGAAUUUUUUUUUUUUUCAACGUUUAUUUAUUUUUGGGACAGAGAGAGACAGAGCAUGAACGGGGGAGGGGCAAAGAGAGAGGGAGACACAGAAUCAGAAACAGGCUCCAGGCUCUGAGCCAUCAGCCCAGAGCCUGAUGCGGGGCUCGAACUCACGGACCGCGAGAUCGUGACCUGGCUGAAGUCGGACGCUUAACCGACUGCGCCACCCAGGCGCCCCUCUCUUCUAAUCAACUUUGAACAUCAUUGUGAAAUACUCACAUUUAGUAUAUAUUCUUCGUCUCAUUCUGAAGAUAACACUGUAUUUUUCUUUUUUAAAAAAAGCUUGUUUUGAGAGACAGAGAGAGAGAGCGCGCGCACACACACGCGUGCGCGUGAGAGAGACAGACAGACAUCCUAGCAGGCUCCAUGCUGUCAGCUUGAACAGUUUGGGGCUUUAACCCAUGAACUGUGAGACCAUGACCCGAGCUGAAAUCAAGAGUUGGACACUUAACUGACUGAGCCACCCAGGCACCCCAACUCUGUAUUUUUAAAUCAUCAAAGUGUUUCAAUCUUGGAUGUUACCUUGGAGCCAUGGCCUCUUAGGCAGAUACUAAAUUUGGCUUGGUAGAAAGUCUAAGUUGAACACUUCUAUACAUCUGGCUUUUAGGAUCUUGUUUUAAGAUACAGCAGAACCCACCUUCUCUUUGGUCUCGUUCCUGCUGUUUUACUGAGAGAAGAUAUUGUGAACAAGAAAUAAAGAUAAUCUUCACCCUCUUCUCAUUGCUUUUCAGGGGAUCUAUAUUUUGAGAAAGCUGUGAAUGGUUUCCUUGCUGAUCUCUUUACCAAGUGGAAGGUAUGUUUUUUAUAUAGUAAACCUCAUUACAUAAACUUAUUCAUUGCAGAUUUUAGAAAUAUACUGUUUCUACUAAGCUGCCUUUAGUUAAAGUAUCUAAGCUAAAGCCUAAAUUGAUAAAACUAUAGAUUUAAUUACUUUAACUGCCUCAACAUGAUAAAGGUCAUUUAUGAGAAACCCACAGCUGACAUCAGACUCAAUGGUGAAAGACUAAAAACUUUCCUCCUUAAGAUAAGGAACAAGGUGGAGUGCCUGGGUGGCUCAGUCGAUUGGGUGACCAACUUUGGCUCAUGUCAUGAUCUCACAGCUCGUGAGUUCAGACCCCGCGUCAGGCUCUGUGCUGACAGCUUGGAGUCUGGAGCCUGCUUCGGAUUCUGUGUCUCCCUCUCUCUGUCCCUCCUCUUGCUCACACAGUCUCUCUCAAAAAUAAACAUUAAAAAAAAAUUAAAAAAAAAAAACAUUAGGAACAAGGUGAGGAUGCCUGCUGUCACCACUGGUGUUCAGCAUUGUACUUGAAGUUCUAGCCUCAGCAACUAGAAAAAAAAUAGAAAGCAUACAUAUUGGAAAAGAAGAAAUAAAACUAUUCUAUUGACAGAUGAUCUCCUAUAUGUAGAAGAUCCUAAAAAAUUCACCAAAAAACUAUUAGAGCUAAGAAAUGAAUUCAGCAAAGCUGCAAGAUUACAAAAUCAACACAAGCAGUCAGUUGUAUUUCAUCAGCAAUGAACACUCUGAACAAGAAAUUUAAAAGCAAAGAAAUAAAUUGUAUGUAUGUAUGUACUUAUUUAAGUAGGCUUCACACCCAGCAUAGAGCCCAACAGGGGGUUUGAACUCGCAAUCCUGAGAUCAUGACCUGAACUGAGAUCAAGAGAUAGACACUUAACCAACUGAGUCGCCCAGGCUCCCCCAAGGAAUUAAAUUUUAAAAAGAGAAUUAAAUUGGGGCACCUGGGUGGCUCAGUUGCUUGGGUGUCUGACUCCUGGUUUUGGCCCAGGUCAUGAUCUCAUGGUUCAUGAAUUCGAGCCUUGUGUCAGGCUCUGCACUGCUGGUGAGGAGCCUGCUUGGGAUUCUGUCUAUCUCCCUCUUUCUCUGCUCUUUCCCCACUCACUCUCUUUCUCUCUCUCAGAAUAAAUAAAUAAACUUUUUUUUUUUUUUAAUUUUUUUUUUCAACGUUUAUUUAUUUUUGGGACAGAUAGAGACAGAGCAUGAACGGGGGAGGGGCAGAGAGAGAGGGAGACACAGAAUCGGAAAUAGGCUCCAGGCUCUGAGCCAUCAGCCCAGAGCCCGACGCGGGGCUCGAACUCACGGACCGCAAGAUCGUGACCUGGCUGAAGUCGGACGCUUAACCGACUGCGCCACCCAGGCGCCCCAAUAAAUAAACUUAAAACAAAAAUUAAAAAGAGAAUUAACUUAAAAAAAUUCCAUAUACAAGAGCAUCUGAGAGAAUAAAAUACUUUCAAUUAAUUUACCCAAGGAGGUGCAAUAUUUGUUUGCUAAAAUCUAUAAAACCUUGCUGAAAGAGAUUAAUAAAGAUCUAAAUAAGUGAGAAAGAACCAACCCAUAAUCAUAGAUCGGGAGACUUAAUACCGUUAAAGUGGCAAUACUACUCAAACUAUAGUUCAGUCCCUAUCAGAAUCCCAGUGGCCUUUUUUUGCAGAAAUGGAAAAGCUGAUUGUAAAAUUUAUGAAGAAUUGCAAGGGAUCCUGCAUAGCCAAAACAACCUUGAGAAAGAACAAUAAAGUUGGAGGACUCUUACUUCGUAAUUUCAAAACUUACUACAAAGACAAAAUAGUCAAAACCAUGUGGUACUGGCAUUCAGAUAGAUUUGUAAAUCAAUGGAAUAGAAUUGAGAGUACAAGAAAUCAAUCGAUACAUCUGUGGUCAGUUGAUUUUAGACAAAGAUGUCAAGUCCAUUUAAUGAGGGAAAGAGUCUCUUCAACAAAUGGUUCUGAGGCAACUGAAUAUCCAUAUGCAAAAGAAUGAACUUGGAGUCUUACUUUGCAUCAUAUACAAAAAUUAACUCAAGGGGGAUCAAAGACCUAAUGUAGGAGAGCUAUUUGAGGUCACAUUAUGUUGUGGCAAAGAGCGUGGGGUUUGGAUAAAAACAGACUGGGUUUAAAAUCAUGAUUCUGCUCUGAUUAUCUUCUUCUUUUUUUUUUUUUUUUUUGUUAAAUCUUGGAGAAGUAGUCAGUCUUUCUGAGCCUCUGUUUUCUUUUCUGCAAAAUAGAGAUUAUAAUAGUCCCUGCCUCACAAGGUGUUUUAAAGCAUCUGUACAUAGUAAGGUCUCAGUUGAAUCUAAGUACCGUCUUCCUACCUCAGCAAUAUGGGGGCACUAUCCAUCAGCUGUGAAGGGUAUGGAAAUAGAUGACGCUUGCCCUCAGAGAACUUACGGAUCUGCUGGGGAGCUUGCAUCUACAUAUUUGAAACAAUAGAAAGCCAUAUGUUUUAGGGGUUAGAAUUUUAUUUACUUUUGAAUUUGGACCUGAAGACUGAGGAAGGUUUGGAUGGUUGGAAAGGAAGAUGGAGAGGGUAUGUCAGAUGAACAGUUUGAACAAAAGGGUGUAGAUGAGCAUGAGAGUAGGGUAUGGUCUUAGGCAACUUCACAGAAGGUUAGUGUAGGGAAUAAUUAAGUAGUAAGAUAGAUUCAAAGGAUGGGGUCACAUCAAGCCAGGCAGUUUGGACUUGACAGGAAGUGUGGGAACUAUUAAAGAUUCUCAAGCAAGUGGUCAAUAUGAUCAAAGCUGGGGAGAAUUUGAGGAAAGAGUAGUCCAAGUGGCCAGGAGCAGUGUGGUGAAGUGACACAUGGAAUUAAGCAGACCAGCCAGGAGGCUUCUGCAGUCAUGUAGCUUAACAGUGAUGAGGCCUUUGUGUCUGACUGAGUACAGGGGCUAAAGUUUGAGGUGGGCUAAAUAAUGGUCACCUUGGACCACAUAGUGGCCAUUUCAGUAUUGGGUGUGUGAAAACCUCCAUUUCAAGUCUGACUCAGUGUCCCUUAGAUGUCCCCUCACCCUACAGUCUAUGAAUGGACUUUUGAUUAGAUAUAGGGGUAGGGUUUGGCAUAGGCCUAGUCAUUAGUUUAUAGGACUUCACUCUUAGGAUUUGUUAAUUUUUUUAAAACUUGGUUUUAAAAAUUAAAUUUAAAAAUUUAAAACUUGGUUUUAAAAUUUUUUUAAAACUUGGUUUUAAAGCAGGAGCUUGAAAAUGAAUUAAAAUAACUUUCUGUAGCCACUCUGUAUUGAUUUAAUGAUAUUUGGUGAAGGUGAACUUUGUUUAUACCUUUUUACAGUUUUUUUAAGUUUAUUUAUUUUGAGUGAGAGAGAGAGAGAGAGUGAGCAAGAAGCAGGGAAGACACAGAGAGAAAGGGAGAGAGAAUCCCAAGCAAGCUCUGUGCUGUGCUGCACAGAGCCCAACAUGGGGCUUGAUCCCACAAACGGUGAGAUCAUGACCUGAGCUAAAAUCAAGAGUUAGUCACUCAACUAACUGAGCCACCAGGCACCCCGGUUGUUCUUUAUGCCUCCUAUUGAAUAACUUACAGCUAACACUGUGGACAGCAGGAUUGAGCAUGGGAGUUCAUGAAUUCAUUUCAGAGUCCAAAAUAUAGUAGGGGUGGGGAUAAUAGUAGUAGUCCCAGUUAACAUUCACUGAGUAUUUUGACAUACCUAGUAUCAUGGUAUGUGUUUUGCCUACAUUAUCUCACUCAAUCCUCUUGCUCCUGUUAAUACUGGUAGGGAAAGUACAGCUCAGUGAAGUUGGGUAACUUGCCCAUGAUCAACAGCAUGUGAAAGCAGAAUGAGGAUUCUCAUCUGGUGCCCUCCAUUCUCCCAGAGCUACCCUGAGAUUGUGGCCUCUGUGCUAUCCUGUCUGUAUUAUUACCCCAGGCCAUGCCACCUGUUGUAUGUUAGCCCCACUGUCACAUGAGUUGAGAGGCUCAUAUACCCACACCAGUCCAAUCACUGUAAGGCAUUUAUUCUUAUUUAUCACUUACACCAAAGUCAGAUAAAUUUGGAGUUGAGUUUGGAGCACUGGGCAUCCAAUAAAUUAGUAGGUGACUAAUGAAGAUUUGCUCUUUCCUAGCACUUUGCUGUUGGUGCUGUUGCUUGUAUUUAGGAAUUUCUGUCCACUUGAGAUAUAUCCAUGGGGGAAUAUAAGGUGGCAUGUUAUGUGCAUCAUGUUGUAUAUAUACCUUACAUGGUAAAUGCUGAAUUGUGUAGUCAGUCAACAUGGUGGGUUAGAGAUGGGGUUGGUCAGUGGAAGCACUCAUCUUCGAAGAUCCGGGAGGAACUGAAACUGGGCUUGCUGGCUUACUGGUGCAAGCCACAUUUCAUGCUAUCUGUAAACAUCCUGUUUCCAGAAUGUUGAUUUCCAGACUCCAUGGAAAUGUUUAUUCUCACUAGUCCCCAUCUCAGUCCAAAGGUACUAUGACACCUUGGCUUCAACUGCUGCAUCUUGAGCAGCUCCCAACCCUGAUUUUAUGACAGUGGUAGGAUGUGGGGGGUGUAUUUGAUUCUUACAUUCAGCACUAUGCGUUCUGUUCUUGUUCCUAAACUAUGGUUCUGAAGAAAUUUUAAAAACACCAUGAAGCAGGUACAAAUACCAUGAUCCUUUGAUAUUGGGUUCAUCUAGUUCAUGCCAAAUCAAGAACAGAGAUAGUGACCCAUAUGUAUUGAUGAUUUGCUGUUUUCAAAGCACUUUUUGCAUUCCUGGGACUAUUGCCCAAAGUUACAUAGUGGUAAACUUCCGGGCCAGGACUCAACCUGCAUCUUCUCACUUCAGCAGUGCUCUGUUCACUGCAUCAUGCAACCUACAAUGAUGUGACAUCAUCCAAUACAGUGUGCUGCCACUGAGUCUCCUAGAAUUGAGAAUAUUAUGUUAAUGCAGGCUGCUUCAUCAUGAAGUGAAUGAAAUAAACUUGAGCUGCUUUUUCUCUACUCAUUCCUAGGAGAAGAACUGUAGUCAUGAAGUGACAGUGGUCCUAUUUUCUAGAACUUUCUAUGAUGCAAAAUCUCUUGGUAAGUCUUUCUCCUACAGUUCCUUUUUUAAUGCUAACAGUUAAAAAAAAUUUUUUUUUAAUGUUUAUUAUUGAGAGACAGAGAAAGAGCAUGAGUAUGGGGGGGGGCGGGCAGAGAGAGGAGGAGACACAGUAUCCAAAGCAGACUCCGGGCUCUGAGCUGUCAGCACAGAGCUUGACAUGGGGCUUGAACUCACAAACCGUGAGAUCAUGAUUUGAGCUGAAGUCGGACGCUAAACCGACUGAGCCACCCAGGCGCCCCCUAUAGUUCUUUUUAUUAAGCUUUCCAUCCAUUCUUUAUCAUCUUUCCCACUCAUCUUUCCCACUUUUUCUCUAAUGAGCGUAGGGUAAAAUGGAAAACAACACAGUCCAUUAGUGGAUGCAAGAAGUCUGUGGGCCAUGCUUCAUCUUAAAGCCAACUUGAUAUAAUUUCAUUCAUUCAUUUGUUCAUUUAUUUUGGUAAUGCAAAUCUUCAACCCAGAAGGAGGAGCAGAUAAACUGUGAAUUUCUCUUCUCAACCUGAUCUACAUGUGUUGUUUUCUCUUUUUCAGAUGAAUUUCCUGAAAUAAACCGAGCCUCAAUUCGACAGGAUCACAAGGGACGGUACUAUGAAGACUUUUAUAAGUAUGUUUGAGGCUUUGCUAUGCCCACCCCCCCCCCCCCCCCCGCCUUUUUCUUGGCUGUUUCUUUCCUAACUUAAAAAAAAAGUAACCCUUUAAUUUUGGCAUAAUAGGUUUACAGAAUAGUUGCAAAGGUAGCACAGAGAGUUCACAUAUACCCUUCACCCAGUUUUCCCUGUUAAUAUUUCCUAACUAUGGUACAUUUGUCAAAACUAUGAGAUUAGCACUGGUAUAGUACUAUUAACUGAGUUCAGACAGUUCUCAUAUUUCAUCAGUUUUCCCACUUUAUGUACCUUUUUUCAUUCCAGCAUCCAAUCCAGGUUACCAUAUUGCAUUUAGACUUUUCAAACUUUGUACUGUGAAAAAUUUCAAACUCACAGAAAAGAAGAACAAAUAAUAUAAUAAAUUCACACACCCAACACUUAGAUUUAACAGCUAUUAUUAUGCCGCAUUUGCUUCAUCUGUUUUUUGGCUACAUUUUAUUUUAAGGUAAAUUAUAAAUAUGACAUUUUGUUCUUACACAUAUCUAAAAGAUAGGUUGAUUUCACAUAUAACCACAAUAUCAUGGUCACAUUGGACAAAGUCAAUUCUAUAAUAUCAUCUAAUAUCUAGUACAUAUUUAGGUUUCAUUAAUUCUCUGAUAACUUCUGUUUAAUCUGCCUGUUAAGUCUUAAUCUAAAGCAAUUUCACCCUUCCUUUUUGUCCCCAAACAUGUGACAUGUUGAAGACUCUGAGUUGGUAGUUCUGUAGUACUGUGUUUUCCAAACUUCCGUGUGCCUAUGAACCUCCCCUGGGGAUUGUGCUGAAUCCAAUCAGUUCAGGAGUCCCGGGGUGGCCCUGAGAUUCUGCAUGUCUAACUAGUUUCUAUGCUUGCAUAUGUUGGUUUCUGUACCCCAUUUUGAGUAGGGAGGCUAAGGAGGACCCCUUCUGGAUUUGUCUGAUUGCAUCCUUGUGGUGGUACUUAUUUUCUGUAAAUCAGAGGUUACAACUGGGGCAAUUUAGCUACCCUCUCCACUCACCCCGGGCGUUUGGCAGUGUCUAGAGACUUCUUUUUCCUUUUGGUCAAAAUGGUAUAGGAUAGGUAGGAAGGGGAGGUUGUACAACUGAUACCUACUGUGUAGAGGCCAGGGAUGCUGCUAUGCAUCCUGCAGUGCGCACAGGACAGCCCCCGCUGCAAAGUUAUUUAGCUCAAGGUAACAAUGGUGCUGAGGUUGAGAAGCCCUCUCUAAAGACUUGGUGGGAUUUAGGUUGGACCUUUUUUGUAAGACUUAUCAGGAAUGCACAUCAGUCCAGAUGUGCUGACAGUGCCCCUGAAUAAGGGAAUGCUUUGUGAGAUGAUAGAAGCGUAGUAGAUACAGUCGGAUGGGUUGCACUUGGGCCUGGAGCUGAAGGCCCUUGAUCUUUUAAACUCUCAGAUCUGUGGAGAAGUUUAUCACGUGAUUCUUGGCGCUUCAGGUGGAAGCUAGAGUAGAUCUCAAAACAGACCUUAAAAACCCUUUUGUGGGUGCCUGGGUGGUGGCUCAGUUGAUUGAGUGUCCAACUUCAGCUUGGGUCAUGAUCUCAUGGUUUGUGAGUUCAAGCGCCGCAUUGGGCUCUCUGCUGUCAGCACAGAGAAUGCUUAGGAUUCUUUCUCUCUCCCUCUCUCUCUGCCUCUCCUCUGCUCAUACUUUCUCUCAAAAAUGAAUAAACAUUAAAAAAAAUAAAAAGAAACCCUUUUGCUUUGUAGAUUUUAAAUGGAUUAUUUUAUUCUUGCCUGAAGUACCAAGAUUUUAUGUUAAAGUAAAAACCAAGUGCUUUGAAACUGAGCACAUUUCAUCAACUAACUAUACCUGUUAAAGCCCUUAGAGACUGCUUCUCUCAAAUGCACUACUCUGUCAUUGGUUCAGUCCUGCUUCCUUAGACUGUUUCCUUCUGUAACCCAGAGGAGGAACCCUUUGCUAGUUUCCCUUCCUAUCUUAGACUCUGAAAUACAAUGUCUUUGUGUUCUACAGUAACAGUUUACUUUGUGGGUUUAGUUUUUGUGUCAGAUGGCCAAUCCUCUCCCCUCCCUCCCAACCUGGAGCCUUAAACAUAUUUCUUUGUAGCUAGUUCCCUCCUAAGUCUGAAGCCAACACCAAAUGCCAAUUUGUAUUUUUCUCUCCCUUCUCAACUUUGUAAUAGCAUUUCUAAAGAAUAAAUAUUCUUUAGUAAUUAUAUAUAUUUAAAAAAAAACUGUAAAUUGUGGAUAAGCACCAAAGAGUGACAAAUUAUGAAACUUUUUAAGGCUGUUUUUGGAGUAAACUUUUUAACUUUUUAUCUCAAAAUCUUUUCAAUUAUGAGAACAUUGAAAGAGGAAUAUGAUGAAUCUGUAUACUUUUCACCUAGAUUUACCAAUUAUUAACAUUUAGUAGACACAUGAUUAUCUUCUACUUCAUUAUCAUCUUUUAAGGACCAAGGACUUUGUAAGAGAAUGUAAGAUUUUGCCAAUUGUCCUAAUAUUCCUUAUUGAAAUGUUUUUCCUGAUCCAGAUUUCUUCCUAGAAUCAUGCAUCAUUAUUAGCUUAAUCUUUUGUGUUUGUUUUUUACAAUAUGAACAACAUGGGUUCGAACUGCACGGAUCCAGUUACAUGUGGAUUUUUUUUGAUAGCUAUAAGACAGUACUAUAAAGGUAUUUUCCUUAUGAUUUUCUUUUUUAUUUUUUCUUUAUUUAUUUUGAGAGAGAGAGAGUACAAAUAGGGGAGGGAGGGAGGGAGGGGGAGAGAGAGAGAGAGAGAGAGAGAGAAAAUAUCCCAAGCAAGCUUCACGCUGCCAGUGCAGAGCUCAGCUUGGGGCUCAAACUCACAAACCACAAAAUCAUGAUGUGAGCCAAAAUCAGAGUCAGAUGCUUAAUCACCUGAGCCACCCAGGCCCCCCCCCCCCAAUUGUGAUUUUCUUAAUACCACUUUCUUUUGUCUAGCUUGUUUUAUUGUAAGAAUAUAAUAUAUAAUACCUAUAACAUACACAAUAUAUUAAUGGACACUAUAUUAAUGUUUAAGUUAUCAGUAAGGCUUCCAGUCAGGUUUUCAGGGAGUCAAAACAUACGCGCAGAUUUUCUGUUGCACAGGGCAGGGACAUCACUGCCUCUAACCCCUAUGUUGUUUAAGGGACAACUGUAUUUCCUUUAUCACUUGUUGGAUUACCUUUUUAUAUCACUGAAGAAAUAAUGCAUCUUUGUUGUAGAAAUUUUGAAAAAUCUAUAAAAGAGCACAAGAUAGAAAAUAAUAGUGGCUUCACUAUUGAGGUGAAAAUAAGAUGAUAAUAAUUAUCAUUUGUAUUCAGGACUUAUGUACGGGGCCUGAUUCUAAGCAAUUUAGGCAUCUUUGUUUCAUUUAAAUAUCACAACAUUCCUUGUGAUAGUUACUCAUCUCAUUUUAUAGAUGUAGACACUUGGACACAGAGUUUAACUUAUCCAAAGCCCAUGGAGGAUUAAGUGACAGAGGAUGCAGUUGACUCAGUCUAAUUCAGAGUCUGUGCUUUUGACCACUGUAUUCUUCAAUCCCAUACUGAUCUUACUUUAAAUUAUUUGUUGAUCUUCUUUUGGGUCCUGUAUCCCUGUGAGAAUUUCAUGAAAGGAUGGGCCAUUUCUUCCCCCAACAUUAUUACCAUUUAUCCCUUUACACUGAUAAAUUCUUCAAACCACUUCAGUGGAUUCCUGGAACCUCUUUAUUAUUAUUUUUUAAGUAAUCUCUAGGUCCAGCAUGGGGGUUGAACUCACAACCCCAGGAUCAAGAGUUGCAUACUCUACCAAGCACCCCUGAUUCCUGGACCCUUGAGAGCUCUUGUGGCUUAAGAGUACAUGAAGCCAUUUGUACAUAAUGAGUAUGAAUUCAUUUGAAUAUAAUUAUGGACAUAUUAAAACAUUAUAUAAAACAUGAAGGUAUGAGUUAUGAAUGUAGAUUUAUAUAUGCAUAUGAACAUAUCAUUAAUAUAAAUUUCCCAGGGUGCCUGGGUGGCUCAGUUGUUUAAGUGUCAGACUCUUGGUUUUGGCUCAGGUCAUGAUUUCAGGGUGUGUGGAAUUGGGCCCCGUGUUGGGCUCUGUGCUGACAGAGCAGAGCCUGCUUGGGAUUUUGUCUGUCCCCUCUCUCUCCCUCUCAAAAUAAAUAAACUUAAAAAAAAUUUCCCCACAUCAUUAAAAAGUCAUCCACAACAUUUUUUUAGAGCAAAAGAAGCUUUGGUUGUGUUUUUCCUUCUAUAAAAAUGAUACAGGUUUAUUUUAGGAAAAUCACAAAGUAUAGUUAAGAGUAAUUCAAAACACUUUCAAUUCCACCUCCCAGAUGCAGUCAUCAUCACCUGAGAGCAUCAAACCCACUUCUCUGUUUACAGAGACAAAAAACAGUUUUCACAGAGAUGUCAUUACAGACUCCCAUGCUUUUUUUUACAACGGCAUUUUCCAGGGCGUGGAGGUACUCCUGGGUGGCUCAGUUGGUUAAGCAUCCAAUUUCGGCUCAGGUUGUGAUCUCGUGAUUUGUGAGUUUGAGCGCCACAUCUGGCGCUGUGCUGACAGUGAAGAGCCUGCUUGGGAUUCUCUUUCUCUCUUCUCUCUCUCUGCCCCUUCCCAAAUUGCACACAUUUUCUCUCUCUCUCUCACAAAAUAAAAAUAAAAUAAAAUAAAAUAAAAUAAAAUAAAAUAAAAUAAAAUAAAAUAAAAUACUGGCAUUUUCCACCUACUAUAUCACAAAUGCCAUUUGAUGUCAAAUAUUCUACUUCCACAGCAUCAUUUUUAUUGCUAUGUAGACAUUUCAUUUGAUUGCCAACUAUUAUUGAACAUUGAGGUGAUUUUCAAUUUUUCACUAUUGUCAAAGUUCUACCAAUGAAUGAUCUUACAGUCUGUAAGCGUAACCUUAGUUAUAAUCUUAGCAUAACCUGAUGACCUUAGUUAUACCCUUAUAACUUGGCAUAACCUUCAGCAUACACUUAAGAUAAGUUCCCAGAAAUGGAGGUAUGGGAUCAAAGAUACUUUGUUUUUGUUCAGACUUUUCAUUUUUAUAGCCAAAUUGCCCUCCAAAAACAUUGAAGUGAAAAAUCCCAUUUUCCCAGUAACCAUGUUAUUUCUAUUUUUUUUUUAUCAAUACUGAAUACUAUUUUCUUCCUUUUUCUGACUCGUUCCCAAUUGGAGUGGGAAAAAAGUUAUCUCACUGAGUCUUAAUAGUCAUUUCUUUUAUUACCAAGAGUGAAUAUUUUCCUAUACUUGUUGGCCUUUGUAUUUCUCUUUUAUGAGUUAUAUAUUUAUAUUCUUAGCUAAUUUUUUCAUCUUUUUUUGUUUUUUAUCUUACCCUCUGUCUGAUUUUGCAAUCCAAAGGGAAGUACUUUUAAUACUGUGUGAACCAUCUGGGUGGUUCAGUUGGUUUAGUGUCCAACUCUUGGUUUCGGCUCAGGUUAUGAUCUCAUGGUAUGUGAGUUCGAGCCCCACAUCAGGCUCUGUGCUGGCGGUGCAGAGCCUGCUUGGGAUUCUGUCUCUUCCUCUUACUUUGCCCCUCCCCAGUUCACUUUCUCUGUCUCUCAAAAUAAAUAAAUAAACUUCACAAUAUAAAAAUAAAAAUAAAUACUGUGAUAUAUAUUUCUCCAGAUCUUUUUCUGUUUAGCCCAUUUUAAAAUUGGAUGAUUUCUUUGGCUUGUUUUACUUAUUUAUUUUUAAUUUUUUUAAUGUUUUAUUUUUAUUUUAUUUAAAAAAUUUUUUUUAUGUUUAUUUCUUUCUUAGACAGAGAGAGACAGAGCAUGAGUGGGGGAGGGGCAGAGAGAGAGGGAGACACAUAAUCAGAAGCAGGCUCCAGACUCUGAGCUGUCAGCACAGAGCCCGACACGGGGUUCUAACUCACAAACCGUGGAAUCAUGACCUGAGCUGAAGUUAGUCGCUCAACUAACUGAGCCACCCAGGCGCCCCUGUUUUAUUUUUUGAGAGAGAGAGAGAGAGAGAGAGACUGAGCAUGAGCAGGGGAGGGGUAGAGAGAGGGAGACACAGAAUUCGAAGCAGGCUCCAGGCUCUAAGCUGUCAGCCCAGAGCCUGACGCAGGGCCCAAACUCAUGAACCGUGAGCUCAUGACCUGAGCUGAAGUCAGAUGCUUAACUGACUGAGCCACCCAGGUGCCCCUGGCUUGUCUUAUUUUUAUUUUAUUUUAUUUUUUUAACACUUAUUUAUUUUUUGAGAGACAUAGAGAAACAGAGCAUAAGUUGGGGAGGGGCAGAGAGAGAAGGAGACACAGAAUCCGAAGCAGACUCCAGGCUCUGAGCUGUCAACACAGAGCCUGACAUGGGCUCGAACCCACAAACUGUGAGAUCAUGACCUGAGCCCAAGUUGGACACUUAACCGACUGAGCCACCCAGGUGCCCCUGGCUUGUCUUAUUUUUAAUAAAAUCAGAUGUAUUGUGGUGGAGAGAAUAGCAUUAUGAGCCUUCAUAUACCCAUUACUCAUAUUAAACAAUUAUCAGAGAAUCAUAUAAUUUUUGGUAGUUAUAUAAUAGUUUGUCAUAGUCUAAAAUUUUAUCAUAAUUUAAUUCCUUAUUAGAUAUUUAAUAUUUUUCUAAUUUUAAAAUUGAUCUAUGUACCACUGUGUAUCUAUGUAUCUAUAUAAAUACAUAUAUAGUUAUGCAUUUUGAAUGUUUCUUGUCUUUUUUUUUUUAAUUUGACUAUUUUUUUAGAGCUGUUUAGGUUCAUAACAAAAUUGAGAGAAGUUACAGGGAUAUCCCAUACACCUCUUCUGCCCACACAUACAUAAUGCCCUUCCCCUUAUUAUCAACAUUCCUCACCAGAGUGGUGCAUUUGUUACAAUUAAUGAACCUACACAGAUACGCCAUAAUCACUGAGAGUCCAUAGUUUACCUUAUGGUUCACUCUUGGUGUUGUAUAUUCUGUUGGUUUGGACAAAUAUAUAAUGACAUGUCUCCAUGAUUAUGGAGUAUUUUCACUGCCCUAAAAAUUCUUAGUGUUCCAGUUAUCCCUUCCCCCCAACCCCCAUGCCCUGGCAACCACUGAUCUUUCUAGAGUCUGUACAGUUUUGCCUUUUCCAGAAAGUCCUAGAGUUGGAAUCAUAUAGUAUGUAACCUUUUCAUGUUGGCUUUUUUCACUUAGUAAUAUAUUUAAGUAAUAUUCAUGGCUUAAUAGCUCAUUUCUUUUUAGCACUCAGUAGUAUUCCAUUGUCUGGAUGUAUCACAGUUUGUCCCAUUCCUUUACUGAAGGACAUCUUGGUUGCUUUCAAGUUUUGGCAAUUAUAAAUAAAGUUUCUAUACUCAUGUGUAGGUUUUUGUGUGCACCUAAGUUUUCAACUCAUUUGGGGAAAUACCAAGGAGUAUGAUUGCUAGAUCAUAUGAUAGGAGUAUAUUUAGUUUUGUAAGAGACCACCAAACUGUUUUCCAAAGUAACUCCAUUAUUUUACAUUCCCACCAGCAGUGACUCAAAGUUCCUAUUGCUCCAUAUCCUUACCAGCAUUUGCUAUUGUCAGUGUUCUAGAUUUUGGCCAUUCUAAUGGUCACUUAUUGCUGUUUUAAUUUGCAUUUCCCCAUAUGACAUGAUGUGAAGCAUCUUUUCAUAUGCUUAUUUGCCAUGUGUAUUUCUUCUUUGGUGAGGUGUCUGUUCAGGUAUUCUGCCCAUCUUUAAAUUGGGUUGUUUAUUUCUGAUUGUUGAGUUUUAAGAGUUCUUUGUGUUUUUGGAUGAUAGUUCUUUAUCAGAUGUGUCUUUUGCUGACAUUUUCUUCUAGUCUGUGGCUUGUCUUCUAAUUCUCUUGUCAUUGUCUUUCCCAGAGCAGAAGUUAUUUAAUUUUAAUAAGGUCUAGUUUAUCAGUUUUUCUCUUUCAUGGAUUGUGGCUUUGGUGUUGAAUCUAAAAAGUCAUCACCCUAGGGGCGUCUAGGUGGCUCAGUCGGUUAAGUGUCCAACUUGAUUUUGACUUGGUUCAUGAUCUCAUGGUUGGUGAGUCAAGCCCCAUGUCAGGCUCUGCACUCACAGUGUGGAAUGUGCUUGGGAUUAUCUCUCCCUCUUUGCCCCUUUCCUGCCAGUACCCGCACACUCUCUCUCACUUUCUCUCUCUCAAAACAAGUAAAUAAAACUUAAACAAAAAGUCACACCCCAACUAGUGUCAUCUGGGUUUUCUGGUGUGUUAUCUUUUAGGAGUUUUAUAGUUUUACAUUUUAUAUUUAGGUCUAUGAUCUGUUUUGAGUUAAUUUUAUGAAGGGUAUAUAGUCUGUAUCUAGAUUCUUUUUCUUUUCUUAUUUUUUGUGUGUGGAUGUCCAGUUGCUCCAGCACCAUUUGUUGAAAAGAAUGUCUUUGUACCAUUGUGUUGUCUUUGCUUCUUUGUCAAAGAUCUAUUGGGGUGCCUGGGUGGCUUAGUCAGUUAAACAUCUGACUUUGGCUAAGGUCAUGAUCUCAUGGUUCGUGGGUUCGAGCCCCGCAUCAGAUUCUGUGCUGACAUCUCAGAACCUGGAACCUGCUUCAGAUUCUGUUUCUCCCUCUCUCUCUACCUGUCCCCAGCUUGUGCUCACUAGCUCUCUCUCUCAAAAAUAAAUGAACAUUAAAAAAAAAAUCUGAUUAUAUUUUGGGGCUUCUGUUUCUGGGCCCUUUAUUCUGUUCCAUUGAUCUAUUUAUCUACUCUUUCACCAAUGCCACACUAUCUUUAGCUUUAUUUGUAGCUUUAUAGUUAAGUCUUGAAGUUGGAUAGUGUUAGUUUUCCACCUUUGUUCUUUUCCUUCAAUAUUGGGUUGGCUAUUCUGGGUCCUGUAUGUUUCUUUAGGAUAAAUUCCUAGCAUACACACACAUGCAAACCUAUAUGUAUGUAUACACGCACACACACACACACACACACACAUAUAUACACACACAUUUAUUUUUAUUUUUUGUAAUACAUUCACAUGUAUUUUUAAGGUUUUUAAGGUUCACAAGCUCUACAGUAAACAGAUUCUCACCUAUCCCUUUCUACUAAUGUAGUCCCCUGUCAUAGAUUUGUUUAUUAGAUAUAUAUGUAAAACCUACAUAUAGAUGUUUUAUUUUAUGCUUCUUAUAUACCACCUAAUUAUAAUUCAUUGUAUGAAGAUUUCAUGUUCCUGCUGAAUACUAGGCAUUAAUAUGAUUUCAAGGCAAUUUUUAAAUAUUUUCUUACUUUUUGUUUUCAAUCUAUAUGACUAUUGAUAAUACAGGUCUUUGUUAAUGUUUGUUACUUGCACUUGGCUUUAAUACUUAUUAUUAUAUGAUAAAUUACCUUAACCCUGGAAAUCCCAUCUUCUCCUUUCUUUUGAAAUUCUGUGAGAGACCUGAUAUAUGUAAUAGCUGCUCAAUGUCUAUUUUAUGACAAUAUUCCUUUCAGAGUGGUGGUGCAGAAUGAGAGGAGAGAAGAGUGGACAUCACUCCUUGUGACCAUUAAAAAACUCUUUAUCCAGUAUCCAGUGUUGGUGCGACUGGAACAGGCAGGUACUGCAUUCAUAAUGACAGAAAGUGCGGCAGGGAAAGGAGGUGUAGGAUGGAGGCUGGGAGAUGAGAGGUUCAUGCUUGCUUCUUUCACAGUGCUGGACAGAGUUUCUGCUUCUGGUCAGGUUUCUAUUUCCAGCUGGGUCUAAUUGUUCAUUACAUAUGCAGUAAGUUCAAUAGUAUACCUACUACAGGGUAGGGGGACCUAUGGAGCCAGACACUUUCCACUUGUUCUUUAAGAGUUCAUCUUUCAUGGGAUACUUUUCCUUCUCUUAUGUCUUUUGCUUCAGAGGGCUUUCCUCAAGGAGAUAAUUCUACCUCAGCACAAGGAAACUACCUAGAGGCCAUCAAUCUGUCAUUCAAU
rnacentral:lncRNA from 1 species